rnacentral:piRNA from 1 species
UCCUUGAUGGAUCUUUAUUCCAGGUGGUC